rnacentral:rRNA from 1 species
ACAGCAGCAGCCGCGGUAAAACGGAGGGUGCAAGCGUUAUCCGGAUUCACUGGGUUUAAAGGGUGCGUAGGCGGGCAGGUAAGUCAGUGGUGAAAUCUUCGAGCUUAACUCGGAAACUGCCGUUGAUACUAUCUGUCUUGAAUAACGUUGAGGUGAGCGGAAUAUGUCAUGUAGCGGUGAAAUGCUUAGAUAUGACAUAGAACACCGAUUGCGAAGGCAGCUCACUAAACGCUCAUUGACGCUGAGGCACGAAAGCGUGGGGAUCAAACAGGAUUAGAGCCCCGGUAGUCCCUGUCUCUUAUACC